rnacentral:lncRNA from 1 species
ACUUGGAAACCACUUUCAUUGUGUUAUCAGAAAAACUACUUUAAUUUGUUUCCAGCUGUGAGUUGGUGCAGCAUCCCAUAAUGAAAUCAAGGAGAAGCAGCAUUCACUUUUGCUCUAUAUUUCUACAGCGUCAGAGUACAGCUGAUGAAUCACAUAUCCAUCCAUGCUUGCUUACAGCAGGGAAGCAGCAGUAUUCUUUGUUAAAAGGUAUUUUGUGGCAGCAUUGGGAGCAGCUGCAACCACUCUGGAAAUGACAACUAUCAGUGAAACAGUGCACACGUACGUCAAGUUAAGAUCUGUUUACAGGAACCACAACCGGAAGAGCAAUGUUAAUACAGCCAAUCUGGCCCCACACUCUUGGAAGAAACCUGAAGGAGAGGAGAAGACCUUUUAAUGAGACACCAUGGUGCUUCCACUACUCAAGACCAGAUGAGGCAGAUUGCUCUUAUUCCCAGAAUCCCCGUUACCUCCCACUGCUGACUGCACAUCCUGUGUGUGCUUGGCUGACAGGAGAAAAUGACAGGUUGAAAAUCUAUACCUAUGGCUAGAAAUGAGAAAUGCCUCAUCUUCCUUAACCCAAACCUAGGGUAGAAAAUAAUCAACCCCCUCCAGUUUUCA